CAGCAGACACAUUCCAGCCAAUCAGCAGCAGACCCUCCCUCUCAGACCCUCCCACCUCCUGGACAGCAUCCAUUUUACAUUCAUUGUGAAGCUGCAUUCUUAGUGAGUUGUCCAGCAGGUGGGAGGGUCUGGGAGAGAGGGUCUGCUGCUGAUUGGCUGGAAUGUGUCUGCU
rnacentral:miRNA from 1 species